AAAGUGAAGGGUUUGAUCCUGGCUCAGAAUGAACGUUGGCGGCGUGGAUUAGGCAUGCGAGUCGCGCGAGAAUGUAGCAAUACAGGACAGCGGCGAAAGGGAGAGGACAACACGGGAAUCUGCCUUGGGGACGAGGAUAGCUCUGCCUUGGGGACGAGGAUAGCGUCGGGAAACUGACAGUAAUACUCGAUAAUGUUUGCGGACCAAAGGUGUGAUUCCGCCCCAAGAUGAGCCCGUGCCCCAUUAGCUAGUUGGCAGGGUAAUGGCCUACCAAGGCUAUGAUGGCUAGCUGGUGUGAGAGCACGACCAGCCUCACUGGCACUGAGACACUGGCCAGACACCUACGAGUGGCUGCAGUCGAGAAUCUUUGGCAAUGGACGAAAG
rnacentral:rRNA from 1 species